UUGGGCCUUAGGCCCAAAUAGAGUCAGACCUCAAACAAAGCAAGCGGUUCAAAAACUGAGUUCAGGUUUUGGUCUAUGCAUCCAUACCAAAUCCAGGUCGAAUCGUGCAACCAACAACACUUCAGCAAGCUUGUUCGACGUCUCCACACACUCUCUUCUUCUCACCUUCUCAAAUCAAGAUUCAAAGGCGAGCACACAAACGAAAUUCAUUAGUUUGUUAAAAAUUAAAAUUUGUUAACAAGUUGAAAUUCAGUUAGAUGAUGGGAAGGCUUAUGCAAGGCCCUGUUAUCUCUUCAGAUUCUUAGAGCUGCUACUGUAAUUAAGUUAAUAGGACUAGGCUGCUUCAAAUUAAACUUAGUACAUUAUGUUAAUCAAGUGAUCUUUGGUAUCUUAUGCUCAAGGGUUUAAGUUAAUUAGUGAUGUGUGAAAGCACUAAUUUGGGAUGGGUCAUUGUAGUUUUUGAGAUUUGCUUCAUGUAGCUUAUGAUUGGAAAUUAGUUUGAAAAUCUGUAAUUUUGUAUUGAAGUUUGUAACUUAAAUGGGAAUAAAUCAUGAAUCGGAAACAUAAACAUGGAUUAGUUUGUAAUGAAUUGAAAAAUGGAUUUUUAUGGAAAGUUAAUGAAUUGCAAUGAA